rnacentral:lncRNA from 1 species
GAAAAAUUUAUUUAUCUUUUAGUCUAUUAAUCUAUCUCGUUUUGCAACAUUGCUGUACUAUUUUUAAAGAGUUACGAAGAAGAAACUUCUGGUCGUCAAUAAAAAUAAAACUAAAGGAAAUUUUUUUAAUAUCACAAGCGAUAUUGUAUACAUGUAUAUGUAUGAUUUAAAAAUAGUAGGCGGAAAAAUAAGUGGUUUUUAAUGGCUGAAUCAAGCAGUUUAAGACUAAAAAAGGCUCGUGCAGUGCGCUAUACUACUCGCCCAGUCAACUCAGCCGGAAAUUGGUCAACAGCAUACUUGGCGAUCAUGCAGCGCCUGCAUUUUUCCAAGUCACUGCAGUUAUUAUUCCAUAUGAGAUUUAAUUGAUCAAAAUGAUUAGGGGUCAUUUUUGAUAAGAUUUACUUUAUUAAUAAUUAAAAAGAGAAGAUGUAAAAAUUCUCACCCCAAUUUGAUAAAGAACUCGUGGCUUUUGAUGGGGAUGUCGUCGAUGUUUCUUCGUGUCAAUUAAAUCAAUCUCGAUGGCCGCAUCCUGAAAGUCUUGAAGCUCCGCCAAAUAUCUAUCUUCAUCAAAGGAUAGAUACUCAUUGAGAAACUCUUCUCCAGCGUCAUCAAACUCAAGUCCCAGAAGAUUACCCAAACAGGUUGUAAAAUAUGUAGCAAUUAACAACGAUAAUAUUAUCCUUAGAUUUUUCAUUUUGAGCAUCAUUUUUUUGUUUAACUUUAUGUUUUAUAUUGACACGUUACUUCUCUUGUUUUUUAGAAUUAACUGGUGAAUUCAAUGUUUAUCUCAGAUGUUUAUUGUUUAUGUGAUAAAAGUGUACCACAAUCACAUUGCAAAAUUUCAAAUAGUCUGUCACAUCACACAUGUAUUUAUAAUAACAAAGAUAACAGUAAACAAACUAACUGAUAGAAAGCCAAAAUACCGCGUAAUUUAAAAUUCAAGCACAUAUUAGAGUAUGGUGAAAGAAGAUAAAACGUAAAUUCAAUGAAACACGUUUAAAAACAGAAGUUUUAAGAAUUCUUCAAGUGUAUGGUGAUUAACGAUCGAUUAUUGAUUCACGUUUUCAAAUAAAAAUGAAAAACAGUUUGACACUUAA